AUGCAAUUAAGCAGCACUGCGUUAUCACUGCGUAGUACUCAUCAUUCAAAGACAUGCAACGGUUCCAUAGGUGAAUGCAAUGAAGUAGGUGAAGAAUUGAUGGAGUCAGAAAUAAGCAGAAGGCUUUUGGAACAAAGAAGAUACAUUUCUGAAGGAGCUCUAAAGAGAGAUAAACCAGUUUGUAAUGGCGGUGCAGGUGGUGAAGCUUAUAGUAGAUCUGAAGGGUGUAUUCCUCCACCUUCAAAUCCUUAUAAUAGAGGAUGUUCUAAGUAUUAUCGUUGUAGGUCUGAUUCUUGA